rnacentral:misc_RNA from 1 species
UUAAGUUCAGCGGGUAUCCCUACCUGAUCCGAGGUCGAUUCCGGGGGGUUUUCGCUUGCUGGAAAGCCUCGCUCCAGGGCACGCAACGCAAAUCUGCUGCGUUUAGAGCCCGUGGAGGAAGCUGCCAACUGCCUUUGAGGCGAGUCCACACGCGCAAGGCAGGACAGACACCCAUCACAAGCUGAGCUUGAAUUUUGAAA